AACGAACGCUGGCGGCAUGCCUAACACAUGCAAGUCGAACGAGACCUUCGGGUCUAGUGGCGCACGGGUGCGUAACGCGUGGGAAUCUGCCCUUGGGUUCGGAAUAACAGCGAGAAAUUGCUGCUAAUACCGGAUGAUGACGUAAGUCCAAAGAUUUAUCGCCCAAGGAUGAGCCCGCGUAGGAUUAGCUAGUUGGUGAGGUAAAGGCUCACCAAGGCGACGAUCCUUAGCUGGUCUGAGAGGAUGAUCAGCCACACUGGGACUGAGACACGGCCCAGACUCCUACGGGAGGCAGCAGUGGGGAAUAUUGGACAAUGGGCGAAAGCCUGAUCCAGCAAUGCCGCGUGAGUGAUGAAGGCCUUAGGGUUGUAAAGCUCUUUUACCCGGGAUGAUAAUGACAGUACCGGAGAAUAAGCUCCGGCUAAACUCCGUGCCAGCAGCCGCGGUAAU
rnacentral:rRNA from 1 species